rnacentral:rRNA from 1 species
AACGAACGCUGGCGGCGUGGAUUAGGCAUGCAAGUCGAGCGAGAAAGGGGUAGCAAUAUCCUGAGUAAAGCGGCGAACUGGUGAGUAACAGGUGGGCAAUGUUCCCUGAAGUUGGGAUAACUCCGAGAAAUCGGAGCUAAUACCGAAUGUGGCCCUCGGGAUCUCGGUCCGGAGGGUUAAAGACGUAAUUCGCUUUAGGAUCGG